ACGUUAGCGGCGGACGGGUGAGUAACACGUGGGUAACCUACCUAUAAGACUGGGAUAACUUCGGGAAACCGGAGCUAAUACCGGAUAAUAUUUCGAACCGCAUGGUUCGAUAGUGAAAGAUGGUUUUGCUAUCACUUAUAGAUGGACCCGCGCCGUAUUAGCUAGUUGGUAAGGUAACGGCCUACCAAGGCGACGAUACGUAGCCGACCUGAGAGGGUGAUCGGCCACACUGGAACUGAGACACGGUCCAGACUCCUACGGGAGGCAGCAGCC
rnacentral:rRNA from 1 species